CAAUAGCGUAUAUUUAAGUUGUUGCAGUUAAAAAGCUCGUAGUUGGAUUUCGGGUGUGAACGACCGGUCCGUCUUUGAUGUGUACUGGUUGGUUGCGCCUUAUUGUCGAGGACGUGGUUCUAGCUUUCAUUAGCCGGGACACGGAGUCGGCAGCGUUACUUUGAGAAAAUUAGAGUGUUCAAAGCAGGCUAUCGCUCUGAAUACUACAGCAUGGAAUAACACGAUAGGACUCCGAGCCUAUUCUGUUGGUCUUCGGGACCGGAGUAAUGAUUAAGAGGGACAGUUGGGGGCAGUCGUAUUCCGAUGUCAGAGGUGAAAUUCUUGGAUUAUCGGAAGACGAACAUCUGCGAAAGCAUUUGCCAAGGAUGUUUUCAUUAA
rnacentral:rRNA from 1 species